GUUCCUCUUCAACCCCAGCAUCCCCCUGGGUUCCUGUGCAGGCCUCGGCUUCCAGGAACCCUGCCUUGGAGUGUGUGUGUGGCUCUGUGACCGGCAAGCAGGAGGCCACGGCUGUCCCACCCUCAGGGCUCUCACAUGUAGAGACGGGGUUUUACCGUGUUAUCCAGGAUGGUCUUGAUCUCCUGACCUUGUGAUCCGCCUGCCUUGGCCUCCCAAGCUGGGAUUACAGGUGUGAGCCACCGCGCCCGGCCGAGAAGUCAAGUCUUUCAGGACAUACCUAAAGAAGAUAGCAUCCAUGGUGCAUGGAGCAUGUGCCUCACCAGGCAUCACCAUACCCACCACAGCUCAUGCGUGCGGAUGCCUUUGCUACCCAGGACGGCCAUACAAGGAAGCCAUUGGGUCAGUCCUGUGCACAAACGGCAUGUCAAGAAAUUAAAUGAUUUCCUCAGGGCCCCGCAAUUACCUUCAGCAAAGCUGAGAUUCCCAGCCUUCUCUCCGCUCCCUGAGACUGACUCUGAAUUGCUUUUCUGCUGGAGAUGAAAACAAGAACAGAAACAGUGGAAACUAAUCACAUUUUUAAAAGUUUUACAUAACCACUUAAUUAUAAUACGCCUGCCCCAAAAGCACUCCUAACGUCCUAACACAUGUACUUGUGAUUUUUCUUUAAACCUCAAAUAUUAUCGUCAUGGAAGAAAUACUCACAGUCCAUCAAGCUUGCCUGUCAGGAGCAUUUCCACCCUACAGACCAGCCAUGGAGGCAGAGUGCAGCCCGGGUCUGUGGGUCACCAGGCCUCAAAUGCCAUCCCAGCGCCAGUGAAAGUUUGCUGUGUUCCUUUACACUGUCCCCUGUGGGCCUGGCUUCCCUGUGAGAAGGUUAAAGAGCCCCAAACAAAACACGCAUUGAAACCUGCCUCCACAGCCCUCUCGGGCCUGCACAGGGCUGACCGGCACCCCUGGAGCCUGUCCACCUCUGGAAGGGCAGUUGCAUGGCUCUGAGCACCGACGGAAACCCCUCGACCUGGAGAGGCCGCCUGCGUGGGGCCGACGUUGCACAGGCUGACCUUGUAGGGCGGUGGGUGGGGGAUGCGGGGCAGGGGGCACAGCCCGGGCGCUCUUCCAGUGCUGGUUUGUCUAUUUCAUGUUGUCCACCCUGUCAUCCACCAAUUGUUCUUUGGGUCCAUUGGUAAUAAUAUCUCCCGCAUGGAUGGGCUCUUCCCAGAGCCUCGUGGGUGCUGAAUGAAGCCCAAGGAAUGGCCUUCACCAGACACUUUGUUUUGUUUUUUCUGUUUAUAAAAGGCAGGGCCCAGAUAGUUUCAUUUUCACAGGGACAUCUGUAAGCACACACUUUGAUUUACACUGGGAAGAGCCAAUGGUUCUCAUUUACAGAGGGUCAAGCUCCAGGAGGGAGGCAAGGGGACGCUUUGGAAAAUAAAGUUCUUCCUUUUACUCCUGUGGGCCUGAUGUGCUCUGUGAAGUUCAAACACUGUAUCGACCAUCUCAACUCUCAGGACAGCAUGUGACACCUCCAUCACUGGGAGCAAACUCUGUGCAGGAGCACCUGAUUCUGCCAGGGCAGGAAAUUCACUCUCAGAAGCAUGUUCCACUCAAGCGGACUUGGCCUGCGCUGUGAGUCAAUGUAAAGAGGGUGUGUUGGCUUCGGCUGGUUGACCUUCAGAAGUCGGAGAAGGCCAAAGUCCCACUGAAUAAACUGCAGAUGAAAGAGACUCAUGGGUCCUCAGAAGGAGGCAUAUGGCUGCUCUCGGGAUCUUGACUUUUGAAAUAUUUGUUUAAAGCAAACACUUGCAGUGGCCGUGGAAAGCCUCCCGUUUCCUCUGGACCCUCAGCCUCUCCCUCGCAGGGCACCGGGCUCUCUCCCUCGGGGACAAUGAGGCGAGAGAGGCUUUUGUUUAUUCUUCAGGAGUCUCUGAGAGUUCACAGUCAUGUUAAAAAUUAACCUGGGGCCAGGCGCGGUGGCUCAUGCCUGUAAUCCCAGCACUCUGGGAGGCCAAGGCACAGGCGGGUCACCUGAGGUCAGGAGUUCAAGACCAGCUUGGCCAACAUGGAGAAACCCCAUCUCUACUAAAAAUACAAAAAUGAGUCGGGUGUAGUGAUGGGUGCCUGUAGUCCCAGCUACUCAGGAGGCUGAGGCAGGAGACUCACUUGAACCCGGGAGGCGGAGUUUGCAGUGAACCGAGGUCGUGCCACCGUACUCCAGCCUGGGUGACAGAGUGAGACUCUGUCUCAAA
ensembl:lncRNA novel transcript